AAUUCCCGAUAUGCUCUCUGAGCGCGAGCUUCAGAGAGGAAAGCUUUUGCGGUGGUGGGCCCGCGGCCGAUUAGCUUGUUGGUAGGGUAAUGGCCUACAAGACGAUCGGUAGCCGACCUGAGGGGGUGACCGGCCACACUGGGAUGAAUGGUCCAGACUCCUACGGGAGUUAGCAUCAGGGAAUCUUGCGAAUCGAAAGCCUGACGCAGCGACGCCGCGUGGGUGAUGAAGGUCUGGGAUAAAGCCCUGUCAGGUGGGAAGAAGUUCUGACUGUACCACCAGGGACCCGGCUAACUACGUGCCAGCAGCCGCGGUAACACGUAGGGGGCAGGUCCGGAAUUACUGGGCGUAAAGCGCGCGC
rnacentral:rRNA from 1 species